rnacentral:rRNA from 1 species
UAACGCGUUAAAUCGACGCUGGGGAGUACGGCCGCAAGGUUAAAACUCAAAUGAAUUGACGGGGGCCCGCACAAGCGGUGGAGCAUGUGGUUUAAUUCGAUGCAACGCGAAGAACCUUACCUGGUCUUGACAUCCAUAGAAUCUUUCAGAGAUGAGAGAGUGCCUUCGGGAGCUAUGAGACAGGUGCUGCAUGGCUGUCGUCAGCUCGUGUUGUGAAAUGUUGGGUUAAGUCCCGCAACGAGCGCAACCCCUAUCCUUUGUUGCCAGCACGUAAUGGUGGGAACUCAAAGGAGACUGCCGUUGAUAAAGCGGAGGAAGGUGGGGACGACGUCAAGUCAUCAUGGCCCUUACGACCAGGGCUACACACGUGCUACAAUGGCGUAUACAAAGGGAUGCGAAGGUGCGAACUGGAGCGGACCUCACAAAGUACGUCUAAGUCCGGAUUGGAGUCUGCAACUCGACUCCAUGAAGUCGGAAUCGCUAGUAAUCGUGAAUCAGAAUGUCACGGUGAAUACGUCCCCGGGCCUUGUACACACCGCCCGUCACACCAUGGGAGUGGGUUGCACCAGAAGUAGAUAGCUUAACCUUCGGGAGGGCGUUUACCACGGUGUGGUUCAUGACUGGGGUGAAGUCGUAACAAGGUAACCA